CACAACCCUCUCCCACACCCCUACCGAUCUAGGGUUACGCGAGGCCGACGGGAAGCGCCACCACGUCGCUCCCCUCCGCUACUUCCGUCGCCGGCCAGACCCGGUGGAGGCCAGAGGGUUUCCGCUUCCCUCGCCGACCACCGUCGCCGCCAGACCCGCGCCUCGACGACCCGGAGCUUCUCUGCGCCAUCGGCGCCAUGGGGAAAGUCAAGCGGACCCGUACCCAGUAGUAGAUUUCCUUGAAUGAGGAUUCUCGAGCAACAACGCAUAUGACGACCGGCGAUUACUAGCGAUUCCUGCUUCAUGCAGGCGAGUUGCAUCCUGCAAUCCGAACUGAGGACGGAUUUUUGGAGUUACAAUAUUAUAAUCUUGUCUAGAAAUUUUAUGCAUUUUUUCUAUCUCUGCCCAAAGGUGAUUUAGACUUAAUGCAUAUUUUGAAUUUUGAAUAUAGAAUUUCGACUUGAACGCAGAAUUUUGGGCAUUAUGAUAUUGUAAUUUCUAACCAAAGUUGAUGUUACAAUAUUAUAAUCUUGCCUAGAAAUUUUUAUG